UAGAGUUUGAUCCUGGCUCAGAACGAACGCUGGCGGCGUGCUUAAUACAUGCAAGUCGAACGUGAUUUUCGUAGCAAUACGGGAUGAAAGUGGCGAACGGGUGAGUAACACGUAAGUAAUCUGCCUUCAAGUUUGGGAUAACCCUGCCAACGCGGGGCUAAUACCGGAUGUGGUCCAUUAGACUCAUGUUUAUUGGAUUAAAGGUCGCAAGACCGCUUGGAGAUGAGCUUGCGGCCCAUUAGCUUGUUGGUGAGGUAACGGCUCACCAAGGCUUUGAUGGGUAGCCGGCCUGAGAGGGUGUACGGCCACAUUGGGACUGAGAUACGGCCCAGACUCCUACGGGAGGCAGCAGUAGGGAAUUUUGCGCAAUGGACGGAAGUCUGACGCAGCAACGCCGCGUGAAGGAUGACUGCCUUCGGGUUGUAAACUUCUGUUGGAUGGGAAAAAAAGCCCGGGUGACCGGGAAUUGAUGGUACCAUUCGAGUAAGCACCGGCUAACUACGUGCCAGCAGCCGCGGUAAUACGUAGGGUGCAAGCGUUGUUCGGAAUCACUGGGCGUAAAGAGAGCGUAGGCGGGAUUGUAAGUUAGAAGUUUAAUACAUGGGCUCAACCCGUGGUCUGCUUUUAAUACUGCGAUUCUUGAGUAUGGGAGAGGGCGAUGGAAUUCCAGGUGUAGCGGUGGAAUGCGUAGAUAUCUGGAAGAACACCAGUAGCGAAGGCGGUCGCCUGGCCCAAUACUGACGCUGAGGCUCGAAAGCUGGGGGAGCAAACAGGAUUAGAUACCCUGGUAGUCCCAGCCGUAAACGAUGGACACUAGUUGCCGGGAGAGUCAAUCCUUCGGUGACGAAGCUAACGCAUUAAGUGUCCCGCCUGGGAAGUACGCCCGCAAGGGUGAAACUCAAGGAAUUGACGGGGGCCCGCACAAGCGGUGGAGCAUGUGCUUUAAUUCGAUGCAACGCGAAGAACCUUACCUGGGCUUGACAUGGGGGUGAAACUCUGUAGAAAUAUGGAGCCUUCCGCAAGGAACACCCUACACAGGUGCUGCAUGGUUGUCGUCAGCUCGUGUCGUGAGAUGUUAGGUUAAGUCCUGCAACGAGCGCAACCCUCGCCCUUAGUUGCCAUCAGGUAAUGCUGGGAACUCUAAGGGGACCGCCUGGUUUAACCAGGAGGAAGGUGGGGAUGACGUCAAAUCCUCAUGGCCCUUACGUCCAGGGCUAGACACGUGCUACAAUGGUAGAUACAGCGGGAUGCAAGCUGGUGACAGCAAGCCAAUCCCUCAAAAUCUAUCUCAGUCCGGAUUGAAGUCUGCAAUUCGACUUCAUGAAGCUGGAAUCGCUAGUAAUCGCGGAUCAGCAUGCCGCGGUGAAUACGUUCCCGGGCCUUGUACACACCGCCCGUCAAGCCAUGAAAGAUGGAAGUACCCGAAGUCGUCAGCCAAACCUGCAAAGGGUGGCAGCGCCGAAGGUAAAGCCAUUGAUUGGGGCUAAGUCGUAACAAGGUAGCUGUAUCGGAAGGUGCGGCUGGAUCACCUCCUUA
rnacentral:rRNA from 1 species